GGCCGCCAUCCGCCAGGGCAUGAAACGCUUCCAGUUCCUGUUGAACUGCUGCGAGCCAGGCACCAUCCCUGACGCAUCCAUCCUGGCCGCUGCGCUCGACCUGGAAGCUCCCGUGGUUGCCAGAGCCUCCCUGUUCCUGGAGUGCGCCCGCUUUGUCCAUCGUUGUAACCGUGGCAACUGGCCCGAGUGGAUGAAGGGUCACCACGUGAACAUCACCAAGCGGGGUCUGUCUCGGGGACGCUCGCCCGUGGUGGGAAACAAGAGGAACCAGAAGCUCCAGUGGAAUGCAGCCAAGCACUUCUGUCAAUGGGGAGAUGCCAUUGGUACGCGUCUCAGUGAGCUGUGCCACUCAGACAGCGAGAGUCCUGCCAACAUCCUGGUUUCAUCUACGACGAGGAGACCAAGCGAAGAUUGAGAAAGGAGGACGAGGAGGAGGACUACUUAGACGACAAUACAGUCAACCCAACAAAAUGCGGCUGUCCUUUCGCUCUCAAGAUGGCCGCCUGCCAGUUGCUGCUGGAGAUCACCACGUUCCUCAGAGAGACAUUCCCCUGCCUCCCCCGGCCACGCACAGAGCCCCAAGUGGAUUUGGAGAGCUGUCGAUUGAGGCUGGACCCUGAGCUGAGUCACCACCGUUAUGAAAGGAAGAUCAGCUUUGCUGGUAUCCUAGACGACGAGGACGGCCACGACUCUCUGAACAGCAGCAGCCACACACUCAAGUCUGACACGGCCUGCGACGACAAGAAGGCCAGGAGCCUCUGGCUCCCAUCAGGAGGAGUCGUGCCGGGGGCUCUCGCCUGCUGCAGAUCAAGGGGGCCAGGAGUUUCAGGGUGAAGAAGGGGGGCUCUCUGUCCUCCAUCCGCCGGGCCGGCAGCCUGAAGAGCACCAAGAUGUCCCGCCAAGACUCAGAGUCAGAGAACGAGGAGGGACUGCUGUCCCAGAGCAGGGACACUGUCACUGAUAUAGGAAGUCCAUGGAGCACCAGUGAACCCAGUAUUGAGCCAGAGGGUUCAGGAGGCACCGGCGGAGGAGAGGACAACUACCACCGUAACAUG